GAUGAACGCUAGCUACAGGCUUAACACAUGCAAGUCGAGGGGCAGCAUGGUCUUAGCUUGCUAAGACUGAUGGCGACCGGCGCACGGGUGAGUAACACGUAUCCAACCUGCCGUCUACUCUUGGACAGCCUUCUGAAAGGAAGAUUAAUACAAGAUGGCAUCAUGAGUCCGCAUGUUCACAUGAUUAAAGGUAUUCCGGUAGACGAUGGGGAUGCGUUCCAUUAGAUAGUAGGCGGGGUAACGGCCCACCUAGUCUUCGAUCGGAUAGGGGUUCUGAGAGGAAGGUCCCCCACAUUGGAACUGAGACACGGUCCAAACUCCUACGGGAGGCAGCAGUGAGGAAUACUUGGUCAAUGGGCGAGAGCCUGAACCAGCCAAGUAGCGUGAAGGAUGACUGCCCUAUGGUGUAAACUCUUUAUAAAGGAAUAAAGUCGGGUAUGGAUACCCG
rnacentral:rRNA from 1 species